UUGGUGGGGUAAGGCCUACCAGGCGACGAUCGGUAGCUGGUCUGAGAGGAUGACCAGCCACACUGGAACUGAGACACGGUCCAGACUCCUACGGGAGGCAGCAGUGGGGAAUAUUGGACAAUGGGGGCAACCCUGAUCCAGCAAUGCCGCGUGUGUGAAGAAGGCCUGAGGGUUGUAAAGCACUUUCAGUGGGGAGGAGGAGUGAUUGUUUAAGAGAUGAUUACUUGGACGUUACCCACAGAAGAAGCACCGGCUAACUCCGUGCCAGCAGCCGCGGUAAUACGGAGGGUGCAAGCGUUAAUCGGAAUUACUGGGCGUAAAGGGUGCGUAGGUGGUUAUGUAAGUUAUGUGUGAAAUCCCUGGGCUCAACCUGGGCAGGUCAUAUAAUACUGCGCAACUCGAGUGUGUGAGAGGGUGUUGGAAUUUCCGGUGUAGCGGUGAAAUGCGUAGAGUUCGGAAGGAACACCACUGUCGAAAGCGGCGUUCCGUCCUAUCUCUACCACUUUACGCCCAACACGUGAAGAUCAAAUACGAUUACAUACCCUGGUAGUCCGCACUAUUAACGAAGUCGACUAGGUGU
rnacentral:rRNA from 1 species